rnacentral:rRNA from 1 species
GCAUAUCAAUAAGCGGAGGAAAAGAAACCAACAGGGAUUGCCCCAGUUAACGGCGAAGUGAAGCGGCAACAGCUCAAAUUUGAAAUCUGGUCCCCCCGCGGGGGCCYGAGUUGUAAUUUGAAGAGGAKGCUUCUGGCAAGGUGCCGUCCGAGUUCCCUGGAACGGGACGCCGCAGWGGGUGWGWGCCCCGUACGGUCGGACGCCGAGCCUCUGUGAAGCUCCUUCGACGAGUCGAGUAGUUUGGGAAUGCUGCUCAAAAUGGGAGGUAAACCCCUUCUAAAGCUAAAUACCGGCCAGAGACCGAUAGCGCACAAGUAGAGUGAUCGAAAGAUGAAAAGCACUUUGAAAAGAGAGUUAAAAAGCACGUGAAAUUGUUGAAAGGGAAGCGCUUGCGACCAGACUCGCGCCCGUCGGAUCAGCCGUCGCUCGUCGGCGGCGCACUCCGGCGGGCUCGGGCCAGCAUCAGUUCGCCUCGGGGGGAGAAAGGCGGCGGGAAUGUGGCUCUACGGAGUGUUAUAGCCCGCCGCGUAAUACCCCCGGGCGGACUGAGGACCGCGCGUAUGCAAGGAUGCUGGCGUAAUGGUCGUCAGCGACCCGUCUUGAAACACGGACCAAGGAGUCGUCCUAAUAUGCGAGUGUACGGGUGUCAAACCCCUGCGCGUAAUGAAAGUGAACGGAGGUGAGAGCUUCGGCGCAUCAUCGACCGAUCCUGAUGUUCUCGGAUGGAUUUGAGUAAGAGCAUAUUGGGCCGGACCCGAAAGAAGGUGAACUAUGCCUGUGUAGGGUAAAGCCAGAGGAAACKMUGGUGGAGGCUCGCAGCGGUUCUGACGUGCAAAUCGAUCGUCAAACAUGGGCAUGGGGGGCGAAAGACUAAUCGAACCUUCUAGUAGCUGGUUUCCGCCGA